rnacentral:rRNA from 1 species
GACGUAGGGAGCGAGCGUUGUCCGGAAUUACUGGGCGUAAAGAGCUCGUAGGCGGGACCGUAAGUCCGAGAGGAAAUCUCAAGGCUCAACUUUGGGGCUUUCUUGGAUACUGCGGUUCUUGAGGAUGAGAGAGGUAAGUAGAAUUCCCGGUGUAGCGGUGAAAUGCGUAGAUAUCGGGAGGAAUACCAGUGGCGAAGGCGGCUUACUGGCUCGAUUCCUGACGCUGAGGAGACGAAAGCGUGGGGAGCAAACGGG